UCCAUAUAUUGUCCUUUAAUGUAUUAGCAUGUUAUUUAUAUUCACAAAAUGGCUUUCAGACAUUGUAGUAAAAUAGAACUUCUCUUUAGUUCAGUACACACACACAUAAUAAAAUAAAAACAAGAGAGACUAACAGAACAGAACAAGUGCAUAACUUCACUAUGCUGCCAUCUACUGGAAGGUGGACUGCAUAACACACCAAUACAUAACACUCUUCCCCCUCAAAGUCUUUGAGAUAACUGCGAGGGUGAAUAUUUCUUCUUAGGCGCCCCAAAACCAUGUUUGGAGCUGCUUCACCUGGACCUUCAGUUGUGCCCAUCCCUUCUUCCUGUGC